CGGCGAUGGUUGACGGAUCUGAAAAACCACGUGAAAGCUUCAUCACGGUGCACAACAGAAUGUACUUCCUGGCCCAUGGAGUCGUAUCAACGUUUUGAAGGUUAUCAUCGUAUGGUCGAGCCAUGGAGUGUCGCAGCGGACUGAUGACACUCGGUCUCAAGUAUACCAUUGGCAGGACGGCUCCACCAUGACCACUGCAAGACCCAGUCGUGCCGUGCACCAAUGGAUUCACUCGAGAAGAGGGCCGUUACCACCAUAUUGCCUCGUUCCUUCAGCUAAGAUCAUCUAGCUGGAGCUUCUGUUUGGCUGGAUGGUUUCAUCGAGAUCAUGGAAGUGAUAAUUGGUGGAGUUAAGAAGUGUUCCGGUAUUGGACAUCUGCUGUUGGACCCUACUGACGUUCAAUUGUUGCUCAGGAUCGGCCUGAGGUCUAUCCUCUGAACGGUUCCAGCAUGAUCAUUUCACUUUCGAGUGGGGGCAUUUAGGAUGAUGUUUCUCGAGAUAACAGCUGUAGUUGCCCGAAUGUUUUGCUGCAGUUUACCAGGUGAGUCUUCAAUUAAAAGAACAGUUUCCCUUUUCUAAGCUGUCCUUUGUGUUCAUUUACAG